GUUGCCUGGGAUGGGAGGCAGGCUGUCCAAGGAGGGCCAGUAGAAAUGAAUUAGAAAAGGGGAUGAAGAAAUUUUGGGGGUGUAGAUGGAGUGGAUCAUAUAUCACCAAGAGGUCCUAGACUUGGCAGCGGAUGUUGUUGGGCUGUCUUUCUUCAGGAAGGUUGAAUAUGUUCUUUGUUCAAGAAAGGUCUCUAGUACAAUGGUGAAUACAAGUUGUGAUAGUAGACAUUGGCUUUUCAUUCUGAACCUCAAGCUUUAAAUAUUUCACCCUUCAGCAUGAGGUUUGCUAGAGAUCAUCUGCAAAUUACUCGUAAUGUAAAGUGAUUAUCUUCUCCUAACUUACUAAGGACUCUUACCACCACUUGCAUCCA